AUGCACGCUGGCGGCGUGCCUAAUACAUGCAAGUCGCGCGAACGGACGAGAAGCUUGCUUCUCUGAUGUUAGCGGCGGACGGGUGAGUAACACGUGGAUAACCUACCUAUAAGACUGGGAUAACUUCGGGAAACCGUAGCUAAUACCGGAUAAUAUUUUGAACCGCAUGGUUCAAAAGUGAAAGACGGUCUUGCUGUCACUUAUAGAUGGAUCCGCGCUGCAUUAGCUAGUUGGUAAGGUAACGGCUUACCAAGGCAACGAUGCAUAGCCGACCUGAGAGGGUGAUCGGCCACACUGGAACUAAGACACGGUCCAGACUCCUACGGGAUGCAGCAGUAGGGAAUCUUCCGCAAUGGGCGAAAGCCUGACGGAGCAACGCCGCGUGAGUGAUGAAGGUCUUCGGAUCGUAAAACUCUGUUAUUAGAGAAGAACAUAUGUGUAAGUAACUGUGCACAUCUUGACGGUACCUAAUCAGAAAGCCACGGCUAACUACGUG
rnacentral:rRNA from 1 species